rnacentral:rRNA from 1 species
AAUCCAUAGGUUAAUGAGGCGAACCGGGGGAACUGAAACAUCUAAGUACCCCGAGGAAAAGAAAUCAACCGAGAUUCCCCCAGUAGCGGCGAGCGAACGGGGAGGAGCCCAGAGCCUGAAUCAGCAUGUGUGUUAGUGGAAGCGUCUGGAAAGGCGCGCGAUACAGGGUGACAGCCCCGUACACAAAAGCGCAUGUGCUGUGAGCUCGAUGAGUAGGGCGGGACACGUGGUAUCCUGUCUGAAUAUGGGGGGACCAUCCUCCAAGGCUAAAUACUCCUGACUGACCGAUAGUGAACCAGUACCGUGAGGGAAAGGCGAAAAGAACCCCGGCGAGGGGAGUGAAAAAGAACCUGAAACCGUGUACGUACAAGCAGUGGGAGCCCCACCACUAAGCCAGUGGUGAACUCCACAUACGCAUCCUUUGCUGAGGAUACGGUUAACGGAGCGAAAGCGACGUUCAACCGCAAAAGAAGCAGAGGGGGCUUAGUGGUGGGGUGACUGCGUACCUUUUGUAUAAUGGGUCAGCGACUUAUAUUCUGUAGCAAGGUUAACCGUAUAGGGGAGCCGGAGGGAAACCGAGUCUUAAUUGGGCGUUAAGUUGCAGGGUAUAGACCCGAAACCCGGUGAUCUAGCCAUGGGCAGGUUGAAGGUUGGGUAACACUAACUGGAGGACCGAACCGACUAAUGUUGAAAAAUUAGCGGAUGACCUGUGGCUGGGGGUGAAAGGCCAAUCAAACCGGGAGAUAGCUGGUUCUCCCCGAAAGCUAUUUAGGUAGCGCCUCGUGAAUUCAUCUCCGGGGGUAGAGCACUGUUUCGGCUAGGGGGCCAUCCCGGCUUACCAACCCGAUGCAAACUGCGAAUACCGGAGAAUGUUAUCACGGGAGACACACGGCGGGUGCUAACGUCCGUCGUGAAGAGGGAAACAACCCAGACCGCCAGCUAAGGUCCCAAAGUCAUGGUUAAGUGGGAAACGAUGUGGGAAGGCCCAGACAGCCAGGAUGUUGGCUUAGAAGCAGCCAUCAUUUAAAGAAAGCGUAAUAGCUCACUGGUCGAGUCGGCCUGCGCGGAAGAUGUAACGGGGCUAAACCAUGCACCGAAGCUGCGGCAGCGACGCUGAUGCGUUGUUGGGUAGGGGAGCGUUCUGUAAGCCUG